rnacentral:rRNA from 1 species
GCUGGCGGCAGGCCUAACACAUGCAAGUCGAGCGGUAACAGAAGAAAGCUUGCUUUCUUUGCUGACGAGCGGCGGACGGGUGAGUAAUGCCUGGGAAUAUGCCUUAGUGUGGGGGAUAACUAUUGGAAACGAUAGCUAAUACCGCAUAACGUCUUCGGACCAAAGAGGGGGACCUUCGGGCCUCUCGCGCUAAGAUUAGCCCAGGUGGGAUUAGCUAGUUGGUGAGGUAAAGGCUCACCAAGGCAACGAUCCCUAGCUGGUCUGAGAGGAUGAUCAGCCACACUGGAACUGAGACACGGUCCAGACUCCUACGGGAGGCAGCAGUGGGGAAUAUUGCACAAUGGGGGAAACCCUGAUGCAGCCAUGCCGCGUGUAUGAAGAAGGCCUUCGGGUUGUAAAGUACUUUCAGUCGUGAGGAAGGCAUUGUAGUUAAUAGCUGCAGUGCUUGACGUUAGCGACAGAAGAAGCACCGGCUAACUCCGUG